rnacentral:rRNA from 1 species
GAGUAAUGUCUGGGAAACUGCCUGAUGGAGGGGGAUAACUACUGGAAACGGUGGCUAAUACCGCAUAACGUCGCAAGACCAAAGAGGGGGACCUUCGGGCCUCUUGCCAUCAGAUGUGCCCAGAUGGGAUUAGCUUGUUGGUGAGGUAACGGCUCACCAAGGCGACGAUCCCUAGCUGGUCUGAGAGGAUGACCAGCCACACUGGAACUGAGACACGGUCCAGACUCCUACGGGAGGCAGCAGUGGGGAAUAUUGCACAAUGGGCGCAAGCCUGAUGCAGCCAUGCCGCGUGUAUGAAGAAGGCCUUCGGGUUGUAAAGUACUUUCAGCGGGGAGGAAGGUGUUGUGGUUAAUAACCGCAGCAAUUGACGUUACCCGCAGAAGAAGCACCGGCUAACUCCGUGCCAGCAGCCGCGGUAAUACGGAGGGUGCAAGCGUUAAUCGGAAUUACUGGGCGUAAAGCGCACGCAGGCGGUCUGUCAAGUCGGAUGUGAAAUCCCCGGGCUCAACCU